CCUACGGGUGGCAGCAGUGAGGAAUAUUGGUCAAUGGGCGGGAGCCUGACGCAGCGACGCCGCGUGAGGGUUGAAGGUCUUCGGAUCGUACACCUCUGUCAGCAGGGAAGAACGGUCACUGUGCUAAUCAGCAGUGAAUUGACGGUACCUGCAAAGGAAGCACCGGCUAACUCCGUGCCAGCAGCCGCGGUAAUACGGAGGGUGCGAGCGUUAAUCGGAAUUACUGGGCGUAAAGCGCUCGUAGGCGGUAUGUCAAGUCAAGGGUGAAAUCCCCGCGCUCAACGUGGGAACUGCCUUUGAAACUGGCAAACUGGAGUGUGUGAGAGGAUAGUGGAAUUCCAGGUGUAGGAGUGAAAUCCGUAGAUAUCUGGAGGAACAUCAGUGGCGAAGGCGACUAUCUGGCACAUAACUGACGCUGAGGAGCGAAAGCGUGGGUAGCAAACAGGAUUAGAUACCCGAGUAGUC
rnacentral:rRNA from 1 species